UUUUCCCCAUUUUUUAUGUGCAAUUUUUACUUUUUUUGUUUUUUGCCCUGUUUGAUUUUGGCCCCAAUUUUUAAAAAAAAAAAAGGUUUG
rnacentral:ribozyme from 14 species